rnacentral:rRNA from 1 species
GUUAAGCGACUAAGCGUACACGGUGGAUGCCCUGGCAGUCAGAGGCGAUGAAGGACGUGCUAAUCUGCGAUAAGCGUCGGUAAGGUGAUAUGAACCGUUAUAACCGGCGAUUUCCGAAUGGGGAAACCCAGUGUGUUUCGACACACUAUCAUUAACUGAAUCCAUAGGUUAAUGAGGCGAACCGGGGGAACUGAAACAUCUAAGUACCCCGAGGAAAAGAAAUCAACCGAGAUUCCCCCAGUAGCGGCGAGCGAACGGGGAGCAGCCCAGAGCCUGAAUCAGUGUGUGUGUUAGUGGAAGCGUCUGGAAAGGCGCGCGAUACAGGGUGACAGCCCCGUACACAAAAAUGCACAUACUGUGAGCUCGAUGAGUAGGGCGGGACACGUGGUAUCCUGUCUGAAUAUGGGGGGACCAUCCUCCAAGGCUAAAUACUCCUGACUGACCGAUAGUGAACCAGUACCGUGAGGGAAAGGCGAAAAGAACCCCGGCGAGGGGAGUGAAAAAGAACCUGAAACCGUGUACGUACAAGCAGUGGGAGCCUCUUUUAUGGGGUGACUGCGUACCUUUUGUAUAAUGGGUCAGCGACUUAUAUUCUGUAGCAAGGUUAACCGAAUAGGGGAGCCGAAGGGAAACCGAGUCUUAACUGGGCGUUAAGUUGCAGGGUAUAGACCCGAAACCCGGUGAUCUAGCCAUGGGCAGGUUGAAGGUUGGGUAACACUAACUGGAGGACCGAACCGACUAAUGUUGAAAAAUUAGCGGAUGACUUGUGGCUGGGGGUGAAAGGCCAAUCAAACCGGGAGAUAGCUGGUUCUCCCCGAAAGCUAUUUAGGUAGCGCCUCGUGAAUUCAUCUCCGGGGGUAGAGCACUGUUUCGGCAAGGGGGUCAUCCCGACUUACCAACCCGAUGCAAACUGCGAAUACCGGAGAAUGUUAUCACGGGAGACACACGGCGGGUGCUAACGUCCGUCGUGAAGAGGGAAACAACCCAGACCGCCAGCUAAGGUCCCAAAGUCAUGGUUAAGUGGGAAACGAUGUGGGAAGGCCCAGACAGCCAGGAUGUUGGCUUAGAAGCAGCCAUCAUUUAAAGAAAGCGUAAUAGCUCACUGGUCGAGUCGGCCUGCGCGGAAGAUGUAACGGGGCUAAACCAUGCACCGAAGCUGCGGCAGCGACACUAUGUGUUGUUGGGUAGGGGAGCGUUCUGUAAGCCUGUGAAGGUGUACUGUGAGGUAUGCUGGAGGUAUCAGAAGUGCGAAUGCUGACAUAAGUAACGAUAAAGCGGGUGAAAAGCCCGCUCGCCGGAAGACCAAGGGUUCCUGUCCAACGUUAAUCGGGGCAGGGUGAGUCGACCCCUAAGGCGAGGCCGAAAGGCGUAGUCGAUGGGAAACAGGUUAAUAUUCCUGUACUUGGUGUUACUGCGAAGGGGGGACGGAGAAGGCUAUGUUGGCCGGGCGACGGUUGUCCCGGUUUAAGCGUGUAGGCUGGUUUUCCAGGCAAAUCCGGAAAAUCAAGGCUGAGGCGUGAUGACGAGGCACUACGGUGCUGAAGCAACAAAUGCCCUGCUUCCAGGAAAAGCCUCUAAGCAUCAGGUAACAUCAAAUCGUACCCCAAACCGACACAGGUGGUCAGGUAGAGAAUACCAAGGCGCUUGAGAGAACUCGGGUGAAGGAACUAGGCAAAAUGGUGCCGUAACUUCGGGAGAAGGCACGCUGAUAUGUAGGUGAAGUCCCUCGCGGAUGGAGCUGAAAUCAGUCGAAGAUACCAGCUGGCUGCAACUGUUUAUUAAAAACACAGCACUGUGCAAACACGAAAGUGGACGUAUACGGUGUGACGCCUGCCCGGUGCCGGAAGGUUAAUUGAUGGGGUUAGCGGUAACGCGAAGCUCUUGAUCGAAGCCCCGGUAAACGGCGGCCGUAACUAUAACGGUCCUAAGGUAGCGAAAUUCCUUGUCGGGUAAGUUCCGACCUGCACGAAUGGCGUAAUGAUGGCCAGGCUGUCUCCACCCGAGACUCAGUGAAAUUGAACUCGCUGUGAAGAUGCAGUGUACCCGCGGCAAGACGGAAAGACCCCGUGAACCUUUACUAUAGCUUGACACUGAACAUUGAGCCUUGAUGUGUAGGAUAGGUGGGAGGCUUUGAAGUGUGGACGCCAGUCUGCAUGGAGCCGGCCUUGAAAUACCACCCUUUAAUGUUUGAUGUUCUAACGUUGGCCCCUGAUCGGGGUUGCGGACAGUGUCUGGUGGGUAGUUUGACUGGGGCGGUCUCCUCCUAAAGAGUAACGGAGGAGCACGAAGGUUGGCUAAUCCUGGUCGGACAUCAGGAGGUUAGUGCAAUGGCAUAAGCCAGCUUGACUGCGAGCGUGACGGCGCGAGCAGGUGCGAAAGCAGGUCAUAGUGAUCCGGUGGUUCUGAAUGGAAGGGCCAUCGCUCAACGGAUAAAAGGUACUCCGGGGAUAACAGGCUGAUACCGCCCAAGAGUUCAUAUCGACGGCGGUGUUUGGCACCUCGAUGUCGGCUCAUCACAUCCUGGGGCUGAAGUAGGUCCCAAGGGUAUGGCUGUUCGCCAUUUAAAGUGGUACGCGAGCUGGGUUUAGAACGUCGUGAGACAGUUCGGUCCCUAUCUGCCGUGGGCGCUGGAGAACUGAGGGGGGCUGCUCCUAGUACGAGAGGACCGGAGUGGACGCAUCACUGGUGUUCGGGUUGUCAUGCCAAUGGCACUGCCCGGUAGCUAAAUGCGGAAGAGAUAAGUGCUGAAAGCAUCUAAGCACGAAACUUGCCCCGAGAUGAGUUCUCCCUGACUCCUUGAGAGUCCUGAAGGAACGUUGAAGACGACGACGUUGAUAGGCCGGGUGUGUAAGCGCAGCGAUGCGUUGAGCUAACCGGUACUAAUGAACCGUGAGGCUUAACC